AUGUGCCGGCAGCUGUGGGGGAGCAGGAGUGACAGUUCCUGGGCCACACCUCAUGAGAAGUUGUCCGUGGGCGCCGUGGCAGGACCCCUACAAGCCUUGGUGCCCAAGGCUGCCGGGGGAGACGCAGCACUGACUUCCUGUGGGUGGGAGCCGUCUUUGGGGCCAGGGUCAUUCUCCUUGGUCCCCCCCAGUGGACAGCACAGGUGUGGGGGGAUGAAGCCCCCCGGACAAGCCCAGACAAGCACAGGAGUGACCCUGCUGGUGUCCCUGGCAGGACCAGCACUUCCUGCAACAGCCCCGGGCUGCCAGCGCCCUGCCAGGAGCCAGCCUGGUUGCAACCGCUGUCCCCAGGGAGCCCCAGCGCCGUGGCGCCCACAGCACUCCUGCACCGCCACGCUGCAUCCGCAGCCCUCUGUGCCCAGGCCACCUCCACGUCCCCGAUCCGCCUGCGAAUCCACCACAUCAGCCCGCGGGAUGGAGCCUGUGGCUGACGGGGGAGGUGAGAAGAGCUUCAGCUACGUGCUCAGAGCGCCCAGCGGCGAUGGGUUUGAUGCGGUCAGCGUGCAGAUCCACACGUGUUGGGUGUUCCAAGACGAGGAGGACAGCGGCCAGGAGCGGGGCCGCCUGCCGGAAGGAGCCCUGCCGGGGAAGCAGCCGCAGCCCUCGGAGCAGAAGCCCCGGGCAUCCGCGGGCGGGGACGUGGAGUGCCGGCUGAGGAGCAGGAUCCGGGAGCUGGAGCUGUCGGAGAGGAGGCUCCGCGGGGAGCUGGAGCGGCUCGGCGGCCGCGUGGCCCGGGAGAGAAGCGCCGCGCUGCGCGCCCAGGAGGAGCUGGCAGCCCGGCCUCCUGCGGCCGAGCCCGGCUUGGACGAACAGAUCCUUGUCCUCGUGUGCGGCUGCCCCUCAGCGCAGGGCCCGGAUGGGUCCCUCCACCCUGUGGACUUGACCUGGAUUUCAGAGCGUCUCCCAGCCGCCCCAGCCCCGCAACCUUCGGUCCUGGUGCAGACGGCCACGCUGCCUCCCUGGGGGUCAGCCGAGGACCCUGCCCCCCUGCCGCCACCGCUGCUCCUGAGACCUCCCCGAGAAGAGGUGCUGGCCGCUGGGCUCCCACCUGCUGCUGAAGCCGCCAGACACCCCGGCUGGGACUGCCCCCGGGCGAAGAGCCGUGACAGCCCCCUGUGCCAGGAGUCCCCACACACCUCCGAUCACCCGCUCCCCACGAAAGCGCCCAGAGACCCCGGAGAUGCUUGGCACGAAGAAGGAGGGGUCAGGAAGACCGUGAGCAGGGAGGAGGCAGCCCUGGGCAGCAAGUGCUGGCCGGGUCAGGAGAGCCGAGAGACCGUGACCUUGGGCAGCGGGCUUCGGGCCCCAGAGGGCGUGCAGGGCAAGAACGAGGCUGCCGUGUCCCAGUCUCGGCCGGAGUGUCCACUGCCUCUUCUGCAGGGAGAGGUCCCUGUGUCCCUGGAGGGUCCCGAAUCCCUGGGUGGGAAGGGAGGGGAGGAUGGAGGUGGUGGGGGUCUCCAAGGGGGCUGUCGCUGGAGGAAGCAGCGCCCUGCUCACCUGCACCGGGGCUCACAGGCCGGCGGGGAGGGACAGAGUGGCCAGGAGCAGUGGUCAGCACGAGGAGCCGCUGACGCUUGGGGACACUCUGCUUCGGCAGGAAGAACGCCCUGGGCGAGAGGAAGAAGAGAACGAGCAGACGGUAUCGCAUCAGGAAGUGUGGGGUUCGGCUGACAGGGGUGUCCCCCAGCAGGCUGACUCGGAGGGCUAUGAGGGCACGGUGACGCCGGCCGUGGGAGAACCGGGGUCGCCGCUGUGUCCCGGGUCGGCUGUGUCCACUGAUGGGGGCCACGUGUGGGCUCCCAGUCGGGGCGACAGGUUCUCUGUUGACAUAGAUGAGCUUGAACAGGCGAUGGAGGAGUGUCUCCAGCAGCUGUUCCUCCUGAGGCCUGAUGGGGGCGCUCGGGGACGGGGAACGCCCCCGUCUUCCAGGGGGAACCGCAGGGUGGCUGGGCAGGGUGCUGAUUCGCCGCAGGUUUUCGGGAACCAACGUUGGGAAGUUUGUUCUGCAGAGGCAACAGAGCCCCAGGCAGGCGGUGAAGAUGUUCAACAGGGACAGGCCAAGGUCCCGGGUCCCCGGCCGGUGCCUGGCUGGGAGGAAGCAAGCCCUGGCCCCCCAGAAGGGCCCUCAGGGUUGGGGGAGCUCCGGCCAUCCCCGCCCUGGAGAGCCCUGGAGAGGCUGAGGCUGAGGCUGCACCAGCUCCUCUGUGGACUGGAGAGAGACGGGAGCCAGGUUGUCCAUGGCAACGCCAAGCUUCAGGGGGAGCAAGACAGGUGCCACGAAAAAGUGCGCGCCCUGGAAAGAGCGCGAGCGAGAGAGGCGGCGGAGGCGGCCAGGCUCGCCCGGGCUAACCGCGCCCUGCUGGGAGACGCCGAGCGCUGGAAGCGGGAGCUGGACCAGUGCCUGCAGGUCAUCUCCGAGCUGGAAGACGGCAACGAGAGGAGCUACGGCAAGAUCCUGGAGCUCGAAGAGGAAAACGCGCAGCUCAAGGGGAGUCUGGGCGUGAUGCAGCGAGCCGCCCUGGAGAACCGGGAGCUCAAGGCGCUGGUGGCGGAGCUCGGGGCCGGCUACAAGGAGCUGACAGAGGAGCUGGCGCUGGGAUUCGAGCGCGUGACCCAGGCCUUGCAGAGCGAGCACGCGCACCUUCUACGCAGGGUCUGCAUCCUGGAGACG
rnacentral:lncRNA from 1 species